rnacentral:rRNA from 1 species
UACGUAGGGUGCGAGCGUUGUCCGGAAUUACUGGGCGUAAAGAGCUCGUAGGUGGUUUGUCGCGUUGUCCGUGAAAACUCACAGCUUAACUGUGGGCGUGCGGGCGAUACGGGCAGACUGGAGUACUGCAGGGGAGACUGGAAUUCCUGGUGUAGCGGUGGAAUGCGCAGAUAUCAGGAGGAACACCCGUGGCGAAGGCGGCUCUCUGGUACGUGACUGACGCUGAGACGCGAAAGCGUGGGGAGCGAACAGG